UGGAUGCUUACAUCACUCACCACAAUGUUAUUUUACACUAAUUCACUGGAGCCUUGUGUGGAAAUGCUGAAUGAGUCAAUAAAUGUGUGCAUACUCAAUCUCUGAGCAUUCCUCCUGAAACCUGUACCUUUUAUGUAAUCUCUCCGACUCAUUACAGGGAAAGAUACAUAAAGAGGAUAGUGGGGAUGCCUGGGGAAUGGAUAAGUAGUACUGAGAGGAUGUGAUCAGAGUUCCAGAAGGACAUUGUUGGGUAGAGGAGAUAACAAAGCUUCCAGCUUAGACUCAAGAACCUUUGGUCCUAUUCCCUUGGGUUUAAUUAGAGGACGGGUCACCCGUGUCGUGUGGCCUCCUCAAAGACUAAGCGAGAUUGGUGGAUAAAAAGGUAGCGAGAGGGACGAAAAGGUAAAUUUCUUGAUCCCCACCGUAUGAAAUAUUCUCUCUUCCUCGAGAUCCAUUGAUGAAUCUUCUUUAAACUGUAAGAAUGGUUUUUUCAGAAAGAUAAAAAAUUGGAGUUCUUUUUGUU